rnacentral:rRNA from 1 species
UUGGAUUUCUGUGGGGGCGGAGCGGCCGGCCGCAACUUGCGGUUCGAGCUAGCGCUUCCCCUACAUCCUGCCGCGAACCGUGCUACCAUUAGUUUGGUGGCGCCGGGGAUCGGCUCGUUUACUUUGAGAAAAAUAGAGUGUUCAAAGCAGGCCACACGCUUUGAAUAAGUUAGCAUGGAAUAAUAAUAAAGGACUUCGGUUCUAUUUUGUUGGUGUUCGGGACUGAAGUAAUGAUUGAUAGGGACAGUUGGGGCGGUCAGUAUUCCAAAGCGAGGGGUGAAAUUCUUAGACCUUCGGAAGACUAACAGCUGCGAAAGCGUUCCGCAAGGAUGUUCCCUUUGAUCAAGAACGAAAGUUGGGGGAUCGAAGACGAUCAGAUACCGUCGUAGUCUCAACUAUAAACUAUACCAGCUAGGGAUCGGCCAACGUUAAAUUAUCCGACUUGGUCGGCACCUUAUGAGAAAUCAAAGCAUCUGGGUUCCGGGGGGAGUAUGGUCGCAAGGCUGAAACUUAAAGGAAUUGACGGAAGGGCACCACCAGCCGUGGAGCCUGUGGCUUAAUUUGACUCAACACGGGAAAACUUACCAGGUCCAGACAUAGUAAGGAUUGACAGAUUGAUAGCUCUUUCUUGAUUCUGUGGGUGGUGGUGCAUGGCCGUUCUUAGUUGGUGGAGUGAUUUGUCUGGUUAAUUCCGUUAACGAACGAGACCCCAGCCUGCUAAAUAGCGCGGUUGAGCUUUGCUCGGCGCGAGCUUCUUAGAGGGACUAUGAUGCGCGAUAGCACAUGGAAGUUUGGGGCGAUAACAGGUCUGUGAUGCCCUUAGAUGUUCUGGGCCGCACACGGGCUACACUGGCGCCUGCAACGAGCAUAUCAGCUGGCCCGAGAGGGUCUUGGCUAAUCUUUUGAACCGGCGCCGUGCUUGGGAUUGACCAUUGCAAUUGUUGGUCAUGCAACGAGGAAUGCCUUG